UUCAGAUAGAGUAGGGGAUAACAAACAUAUUUCAUCAGAUAAGAUAGGAGAUAACAAUCAUAUCGUGUUCAAGCAAGACUAACAAUUGGAUUCUCCUUCUUCAUGGAACCUUAGCCUAUACCUAUAAAUGGAGGCCUACAAGAAACCCCCAAGGUAAGCACAAAAUCUCCUUCAUGCUCACUCUUUCUUAUCUGUUUCACACUUCUAACUUGAGCAUUAGAGGUCCCC
rnacentral:lncRNA from 1 species